rnacentral:tRNA from 1 species
GUCUGAGUGGCUCAGUUGGUUAAGCAUCUGACUCCGGCUCAGGUCAUGAUCUCCUCAUUCGUGGGUUCAAGCCUCACGUCAGGCU